GGGGAAUUUUGGGCAAUGGGCGCAAGCCUGACCCAGCCACGCCGCGUGAGUGAUGAAGGCCUUCGGGUCGUAAAGCUCUGUGGGGAGGGACGAAAACCUGCAGCCCAAUACGCUGCAGACUGACGGUACCUCCUUCGCAAGCACCGGCUAACCCCGUGCCAGCAGCCGCGGUAAUACGGAGGGUGCAAACGUUGCUCGGAAUCAUUGGGCGUAAAGCGCACGUAGGCGGUCCGGCAAGUCGGGUGUGAAAGCCCUCGGCUUAACCGAGGAAGUGCAUUCGAAACUACCGGACUUGAAUACUGGAGAGGGUCGCGGAAUUCCCGGUGUAGAGGUGAAAUUCGUAGAUAUCGGGAGGAACACCAGUGGCGAAGGCGGCGACCUGAACAGAUAUUGACGCUGAGGUGCGAAAGCGUGGGGAGCAAA
rnacentral:rRNA from 1 species